GUGAAAAGCUCCGACCGGCGCAGUGUUUUGGUGCAAUCUCUCGAAUUUUUGCAAUAAUCGUGUUAUUGUUGGAAUUCCCGAAGUCUUGAGUUUUGGGGAAAUAGAGAAACAAGUACCAACGUGACAAUAGCUUUUGACAAAAUUUCACACAUAGAAAACUGCAAUCAAUUGUUGAAUAUUUCUCCUGUGGCGGAAAAAAUGUUUACAAAAAAACAGAUAAUGGAAAGAAUAGGAUACAAAAUCACCGACAAUAUACCAAAACAAAAAUUCCACUACGUUUAUUUUUCAAUAAAAAUAUUUACGGAAAAGGUAAUAAAGGACAGAGUAAAAUGACAGACAACUUUAAAAAAAAAUCCCGCUUGUUUUCGGAUAAAAAAAAACCAUCAACCACCGUCGAUAUCCAAAGCUGAGGAAGUGAAGGAUUAGGAAGGAUAUAAAAGGAUAAAAUUGGUCAUUGCCCUUUCAAAACGCGUGGUUCAUCGACCGGUUUACUGCAUUCGAGCUGUAACGAUGACAGGAGAAAAUGAGAAAUAUUGGUUCGUAUACGACAAUUGAGGUAAGAUGGAGUCAGUCGAAAUAAACACAUGAAUGUUGUGUAUCGCG